rnacentral:rRNA from 1 species
GNNNUNNNNUUNANAAANUGCUNNGACUUCGGAAGCAGCGGAUUUNUUNGAUCNAAACCAACCUGUCGCAAGACGGAUUUUUGAUGNCUCUGGAUAACUUUACUGAUCGUACGGCCUUGUGUUGACGACAUAUCUCUUGAAAAGGCUGACCUAUCAACUUUCGAUGGUAAGAUCAAAGCUUACCAUGGUUGUAACGGGUAACGGGGAAUCAGUGUUCGAUUCCGGAGAGGGAGCCUGAGAAACGGCUACCACAUCUACGGAAGGCAGCAGGCGCGUAAAUUACCCAAUACCGGCUCGGUGAGGUAGUGACAAAAAAUAACAAUAUGGGCCCUAGUGGUUUCAUAAUUGCAAUGAGAACAUUUUAAAUACUUUAUCAAGUAUCAAUUGGAGGGCAAGUCUGGUGCCAGCAGCCGCGGUAAUUCCAGCUCCAAUAGCGUAUAUUAAAGUUGUUGCAGUUAAAAAGCUCGUAGUUGAAAUUGAGGACCGGGCCGGUUCGUCGAUUUUCGGAUUGAUGAAUCGUGCUUAUCCUUCGUCGUCGUGUAUAUGCUGGUGGCUCUUCACUGGGUCGCUGGCGUAACCGGCAAGUUUACUUUGAAAAAAUUAGAGUGCUUAAAGCAGGCUUACGCUUGUAUAUUGUUGCAUGGAAUAAUGGAAUAAGACUUCGGUUUUAUUUUGUUGGUUUUNGAANNNNNNNUAAUGAUUAAAAGAGACUGCCGGGGGCCAUAUGUAUGCUGGUGUGAGA